CGUCAAGUCAUCAUGGCCCUUACGGCCAGGGCUACACACGUGCUACAAUGGCCAGUACAAAGGGUUGCCAACCCGCGAGGGGGAGCCAAUCCCACAAAGCUGGUCGUAGUCCGGAUCGGAGUCUGCAACUCGACUCCGUGAAGUCGGAAUCGCUAGUAAUCGCGAAUCAGCACGUCGCGGUGAAUACGUUCCCGGGCCUU
rnacentral:rRNA from 1 species